CCAGUUUCAGUGGGGGACCUCUGGUCUGUUGUCUUCCUACUGAUGAGCAGGUUAGUAUAUGGCUGUUUGUGGUAACUUUGUGUAUAUGUGUAUUGUGCUACCAUAUUCCCUCAGAUGCAUUUUGUUUUUUUCUAAAUAAAACAAAUGCAGUUUUGUCUAGCCUUUCUUCAUAACAAAUUAAUUAAUUAAUGUUGUAGCCUAUCUCUGCACUUUUUU